rnacentral:rRNA from 1 species
AAAUGAAUAGACGGGGGCCCGCACAAGCGGUGGAGUAUGUGGUUUAAUUCGACGCUACGCGAAGAACCUUACCGGGGCUUGACAUCCUUUGCAAUCUGUUGAAAGACAGAGUUCCCUUCGGGGACGAAGAGACAGGUGGUGCAUGGCUGUCGUCAGCUCGUGUCGUGAGAUGUUGGGUUAAGUCCCGCAACGAGCGCAACCCUUGUCCUUAGUUGCCAGCACGUUAAGGUGGGCACUCUAGGGAGACUGCCGGUGACAAACCGGAGGAAGGUGGGGAUGACGUCAAGUCAUCAUGCCCCUUAUGUUCCGGGCUACACACGUACUACAAUGGUCUGUACAGAGGGUUGCGAAGCCGCGAGGUGGAGCCAAUCCCAGAAAGCAGAUCUCAGUUCGGAUUGCAGGCUGAAACCCGCCUGCAUGAAGUUGGAAUCGCUAGUAAUCGCAGGUCAGCAUACUGCGGUGAAUACGUUCCCGGGCCUUGUACACACCGCCCGU